UACGUAGGGGGCAAGCGUUUGUCCGGAUUUAUUGGGCGUAAAGAGCGUGUAGGCGGUUUGGUAGGUCCGCUGUGAAAACUCGAGCUCAACCUCGAGACGCCGGUGGAAACCAUCAGACUAGAGUCCGGAAGAGGAGAGUGGAAUUCCUGGUGUAGCGGUGAAAUGCGCAGAUAUCAGGAAGAACACCCGUGGCUAAGGCGGCUCUCUAGUACGGUACUGGACGCUGAGACGCGAAAGCGUGGGGAGCGAACAGG
rnacentral:rRNA from 1 species